rnacentral:sRNA from 1 species
GCUGGUUGUGGUGGCACAUACCUGUAAUCCCAGUUACUUGGGAGGCUGAGGCAAGAGGAUUGCAACUUUGAGAGCAACCUCAGCAACUUAGUGAGAUCCUGUCUCAA